rnacentral:rRNA from 1 species
CAACUUUUGACAACGGAUCUUUUGUUCUCCCAUCGAUGAAGAACGCAGCGAAAUGCGAUAAGUAAUGUGAAUUGCAGAAUUCAGUGAAUCAUCGAAUCUUUGAACGCACCUUGCGCUCGUUGGUAUUCCGACGAGCAUGCCUGUUUGAGUGUCAU